rnacentral:rRNA from 2 species
GGUCCAGACUCCUACGGGAGGCAGCAGUGGGGAAUAUUGCACAAUGGGCGAAAGCCUGAUGCAGCUAUACCGCGUGUAUGAAGAAGGCCUUAGGGUUGUAAAGUACUUUCGUUGGGGAGGAAAAAUAAAUAGAUAAUACCUGUUUAUCGUGACGUUACCCAAAAAAGAAGCACCGGCUAACUCCGUGCCAGCAGCCGCGGUAAUACGGAGGGUGCAAGCGUUAAUCAGAAUUACUGGGCGUAAAGAGCUCGUAGGCGGUUUUUUAAGUCAGAUGUGAAAUCCCUGGGCUUAACCUAGGAACUGCAUUUGAAACUAAAAGACUAGAGUAUCGUAGAGGGAGGUAGAAUUCUAGGUGUAGCGGUGAAAUGCGUAGAUAUCUGGAGGAAUACCUGUGGCGAAAGCGGCCUCCUAAAUGAAUACUGACGCUGAGGUGCGAAAGCAUGGGGAGCAAACAGGAUUAGAUACCCUGGUAGUCCAUGCCGUAAACGAUGUCGACUUGGAGGUUGUUUCCUUGAGAAGUGACUUCCGAAGCUAACGCGUUAAGUCGACCGCCUGGGGAGUACGGUCGCAAGGCUAAAACUCAAAUGAAUUGACGGGGGCCCGCACAAGCGGUGGAGCAUGUGGUUUAAUUCGAUGCAACGCGAAAAACCUUACCUGGUCUUGACAUCCACAGAAUUUUUCAGAGAUGAAAAAGUGCCUUAGGGAACUGUGAGACAGGUGCUGCAUGGCUGUCGUCAGCUCGUGUUGUGAAAUGUUGGGUUAAGUCCCGCAACGAGCGCAACCCUUAUCCUCUGUUGCCAUUGGUUCGGCCAGGAACUCAGAGGAGACUGCCGGUUAUAAACCGGAGGAAGGCGGGGACGACGUCAAGUCAUCAUGGCCCUUACGACCAGGGCUACACACGUGCUACAAUGGUGUAUACAAAGAGAAGCAACUCUGCAAAGACAAGCAAACCUCAUAAAGUACAUCGUAGUCCGGACUGGAGUCUGCAACUCGACUCCACAAUCCGGGAAA